CGGCGGCGCGAGUGUCUCUGGGCGGGUAGCCGGCGCGGACUGUACCUUUCUAGCCCUGCUGCUCUCUCCGCUGCAGCCUCUCUCCCAGCGCCGCACACGGGGUCUCCGCCAAUCACAGCGCCGCAACGCACGGGCACCACACUGCCCGUGACGUCAAACGGGGCCAUGGCAACCGCGAGGGAGCGAGCGCCUGCGCCCGCGCCUUCCCCACAGGGCGGGGGCCGCACCAACCGCCGCUGGCGUCGGCGCGCGCAGCACCGCGGGGGACACGCCUAGCCCCGCCACAGCCCCUGCCGCGGGCGCGCGCCUUCGCCUCCGACUGCAGCGUGAGGAAACGUGUGGUUUUGUCACUGCUUUUGAAGAUGACAUACAAUGUCCUAUCAUAUAUGAAGGUGUGAUGGCCAUCCUGGUAGCUGACACCAAGGUUUGAACCAGGGACCUCCAGAACUGAAAACAUGAGUCCCUACAGCGUAAUUAUUUCUCCUAGGCAAGAAAACAGGGGAGGUUGGACUCUGAGUUCAUGAAAAUGUUCACUCAUUGCACAUGCAAAAACCAGCAUUUGAAAGAGGCAAGGCUUCCAUGAGGUGCUGGUGGACAUUUCAAUGGCCUUUUUUGACCCACUAAAGGCACCUGACAGAGCAGGAGGGUGACAAUACAGAGAUGGAAGACUCAAACUGGCAGCUUCUGCUCAUAACUCUUGGUAUAGCUGCUGAUGCCCUCCAUGUAGACUGGUGCUUCUUGAGCAGGGCCACAAAUGCAGACUGGUGGUGUCACAUCAUCACGCAGACCUGGGAUGACCAGCAGUGGCUCCAGAACUUUUACAUGAAGAAAGCUACAUGUUUUGGGGGGAGUCUUGUGAGCAGCAUGCCCUGACCCUCUGGUGUCAUGACACAUGUACAAGGACAGCCAUAUUAGUCCAGAAGCAGGUUGCUAAAACAGUCUGGAAGGUGGCUACCCCAGACUGCUACAGAUCUGUUGCUAACCAGUUUAGUGUUGGAAGUCAACUGUGAGUAAAGUGGUGGUGAAAGUUUCUGAAGUUAUCAGAUGUAGGAUUUACCCAAUGGUGGUGGGUGUAAACAAUAUUCCUGAGGUGAUUGGAAAGCUCAUUCUCUCAAAACCAGCUAACUGUGCUGGAGCUAUUGAUGGGAUUCAUGUCCACAGUUUGCCCUCCUCAGGGAGCAAAUGAGUACAUAAACCACAAAGAGCAGCGCUCCAUUGUUUAUGCAGGCUCUUGUGGACCACAGAGGCCAAUUUAUGGACCUCAAGAUGUGAUGUAGUCAAAAGGUUCAUGAUGCAAGGGUUUUCCGUCGGUCAGGAGCCUACUUUUAUGGAUAGGCUAGGACACUAUUCCCACCAAUUGACAUUCUCAUAAAUGGAGUAACUGUCCUCACUGUCGUUCUGGGGGACCCUACAUUCUUUAUCUUGGCUUAUGAAACCAUAUCCAGAUCUCAGAGGGCCCCGCAAAAGGUUUAUUUACAUUCUCAGCAGCUGUAGAAUGGUGGCUGAAUGUGCAUUUGGCAGACAGCACCAGUGGGAUUUAACUCUAUAGAUGCAUUUGGAUUCCAGUGUCAUCAACACUGUCUGUACUAUUGCGAAGAGCACAGCAAGCCACAAUCUUUAUGAAGCCAAAGAUGAGCCAUUUGCCCUUGAAUGGACCUAUGACAGUAAUGGACUGCUGAACCAAUACGCUCAACCAGACAGUGCACCAAUCACAGCACAGGAUGUUCCUGGGCAACAAAAAUCAAGGCUGCUCUGUGCUGCUACAUUAUGGACUUACACAGGCCUAUGGAAAAAGGAGAAUAGCACAUUUCUGACUUUUUGUACAGCAGUGUGUACAGUGAAUGAGGUACUAUCACAUCACAGGGUGCAAUGGGAGUGGGUACUGUCAUACACAAUGAAUGGGAGGAGGUAUUGAUUGUCAUUAAUUUUUAUUUUGGAUGACAUAACUGUUAAUGUAAUGGGGGAUUAUGUAUUUACAUUAUUGAUGUACAUAGAUAUACUGAAAUUAUUUAGUUAUAACUUGUUUAUUGUACCUUACCCUGUUUAUCUUUAUUAUUCAAAAUACACAUUAUAAGA